GGGAAGGCUAGGCUGGGUAGAUAGUCCCUAUCUGUUACCGCAAGCGGACUUUAGGCGGGGCUGAAGCUGGAAGAGCGAUAUUAGUUUUGGCUGUUAGUCUUGGUCACUACUAUGAGGCUCUGUCCUUUGGGAUUGAUGUUUUAGUGAAUCAAGUCAGGCCAGGAAUGGAGCAGCUUUUAGCUUUAACAUUGAUGCUCAUUGGGUAGCGGAGCUGAGGAAUGACGAAGGUCGCUAAUAGUUAAGGCUGGUAUCCAUCUUUUGGUGUGCCUUCCU
rnacentral:SRP_RNA from 1 species